rnacentral:ncRNA from 2 species
CGAUGAGGUAGAGGUUGCGGCUUUUAUGAGUACAGCGAACGAGAUGCAGAGAACAUUGAAGACUUCGCUCGAAAGGAAAAGCCGCCGAAGUUGGCACAUUUCUCUGGAUGUGCGAACUGGGGCUGUCACCGAAUAGGGGCAGCACUGUCACGGUUUGCGUAAAGCAACCGUGGGGCGCUAUCUUCACG